GGGUCAGUAGGUUGGUCGUGCCACCGGUACGUACUGGUCUCACUGAUCCCUCCUUCCUGAAGAACCGUAAUGCCAUUAAUUUGGUGUUGCGGGGAAACAGGACUGUUACUUUGAAAAAAUUAGAGUGUUUAAAGCAAGCUAACGCUUGAAUACAUUAGCAUGGAAUAAUGAAAUAGGACGAUCGAUCCUAUUUUGUUAGUUUCUAGGAUUGACGUA
rnacentral:rRNA from 1 species